GACGAACGCUGGCGGCGUGCUUAACACAUGCAAGUCGAACGGAAAGGCCCUGCUUUUGUGGGGUGCUCGAGUGGCGAACGGGUGAGUAACACGUGAGUAACCUGCCCUUGACUUUGGGAUAACUUCAGGAAACUGGGGCUAAUACCGGAUAGGAGCUCCUGCUGCAUGGUGGGGGUUGGAAAGUUUCGGCGGUUGGGGAUGGACUCGCGGCUUAUCAGCUUGUUGGUGGGGUAGUGGCUUACCAAGGCUUUGACGGGUAGCCGGACUGAGAGGGUGACCGGCCACAUAGGGACUGAGAUACGGCCCAGACUCCUACGGGAGGCAGCAGUGGGGAAUAUUGAACAAGGGGCGGAAGCCUGAUGCAGCAACGCCGCGUGCGGGAUGACGGCCUUCGGGUUGUUAACCGCUUUCGCCUGUGACGAAGCGUGAGUGAAGGUAAUGGGUAAAGAAGCACCGGCUAACUACGUG
rnacentral:rRNA from 1 species